CAAGUUCCAUUGUUGGUUAAGUAAAGAAUUAAUUUCAUGUACUUGCCAUGUUAACUGGUCGGAUUACAGGUCAGUUUACAGGUGCUUGUGGUUGUUGUGUGAAUUCAAAUCGCAUGAACGCCUCACUCACCCCUUAGAAGGAAGGAAUACUCGCCCCAUAUAAGAGAAUCCGGAAUCCGGUAAAAAAACAGCUUCGGAGUCCGAAAUCCGUAUCCUGGAAUACGGAAUUCCAAGUUUUGGAAUCCAGAAUCCAACAUUCUUUGGAACCCGGAAUCCUGUAGUUCUCUGGAUYCUCUUACAUGGGGCGAUAAUACGACAUAUUACCCGUAAAUCCCAGGACGACACCUAUUGGCGAUAAAUGCCGGAUUGUAUGGGAGUAACCACKCCCUCGAGUAUGCCAUACUGACUGCUGAGACCAAGUGUCARMAGCAUAGCAAAAAACAGUACAGACCACAGCGGUGAUAUAGGCAUCUUGACGAUCGCUUCUGUGAACGCGAUGAACGUCAGACCUGGUCCUUGAGCUKCCUGUCAAAUUAUGAAUCGAGAAGAUGACUGUCGUGGCAUACAAGGAAGUCGCGCCAUUAGUCAACGAUACAACAACCGCGUCCCGUCU